rnacentral:rRNA from 1 species
AAUGGGGGAAACCCUGAUGCAGCGAUGCCGCGUGAGUGAAGAAGGCCUUUGGGUUGUAAAGCUCUUUCGUCGGGGAAGAAAAUGACUGUACCCGAAUAAGAAGGUCCGGCUAACUUCGUGCCAGCAGCCGCGGUAAUACGAAGGGACCUAGCGUAGUUCGGAAUUACUGGGCUUAAAGAGUUCGUAGGUGGUUAAAAAAGUUGGUGGUGAAAUCCCAGAGCUUAACUCUGGAACUGCCAUCAAAACUUUUUAGCUAGAGUAUGAUAGAGGAAAGCAGAAUUUCUAGUGUAGCGGUGAAAUUCGUAGAUAUUAGAAAGAAUACCAAUUGCG